CUUUAUUAAAAACUUUACUGUGAUAUUCAGAUCUGAGCCUGGAGAUUUGCAGUAGCCACUGGUGUCCUUGUCUCCCUUGUUAAUUGAUGUCACUGAUUUCCUAGAAUGGGGGGCUCCCAAGAGCUUCCCAGGAGCUGUGUGAGUGUGAGAGUGGGGUGGGUGGGCUUGCAGGUGUCAAGUCUGCUAAAUCAGUCAGUCUGUGAUGAGACAGAGUAUAACUCUGAGCACGCUGUCAACUCAAAGGCUGCAACCUCCUACUGCUACACACACACCUUACAUCCCUCCCUCCCUCACAUUAACCAAUAAUCCCAGUAACCCCCUCUAAUCAAUCUCCCAACCCGCCAAUACUCCCCAGGGGCCAUUCUUACCUUCACCAGUCACCAUGGUGACACACAAACACACACAGACCAGAGCUAAAGUACCACAAAGACAAAAGGCUGGAAUUAGUUUAUUACACAUCACUCUGAGAACACACACACCUUCAGGGGUUUAGAACCAACAGUCAUCAAAAUGGCAAAUAUGAAUCAAAUAUUAUACAAUAAUUCUGACAAUAUGUCUCACUAAAGACAAUGUGCCUCUAAACAAAGUCUUAUUCCUCCAUCCAUCUCCAAGGUUUUCUGUGUGUGUGUCCGUGAGUUACAGGGUGGUGGUAGAGUGUUGUGGCGUGAGUGGGGGGUGGAGGGAGUGGUGUGUGAGUUACAGGGUGGUGGUAGAGUGUUGUGGGGGGUGGAGGGAGUGUUGUGUGUGUGAGUUAAAGGGUGGUGGUAGAGUGUUGUGGGGGGUGGAGGGAGUGGUGUGUGUGUGAGUUACAGGGUGGUGGUAGAGUGUUGUGGGGGGUGGAGGGAGCGGUGUGUGUGUGUGUGAGUUACAGGGUGGUGGUAGAGUGUUGUGGAGGGAGGGGUGUGUGUGAGUUACAGGGUGGUGGUAGAGUGUUGUGGGGGGAGUGGUGUGUGUGUGAGUUACAGGGUGGUGGUAGAGUGUUGUGGGGGGGUGGAGGGAGCGGUGUGUGUGUGUGAGUUACAGGGUGGUGGUAGAGUGUUGUGGGGGGUGGAGGGAGCGGUGUGUGUGUGUGAGUUACAGGGUGGUGGUAGAGUGUUGUGGGGGGUGGAGGGAGUGGUGUGUGUGUGAGUUACAGGGUGGUGGUAGAGUUGUG
rnacentral:lncRNA from 1 species